rnacentral:tRNA from 1 species
GAGGGUAGAGCUCACUGGUAGAGCGCAAGCCCAGCAUGCACAAGGUCCUGGGUUCAAUCCCCAGUAUCUCCA